CCACCUACGGGGGGCAGCAGUAGGGAAUAUUGCUCAAUGGGGGAAACCCUGAAGCAGCAACGCCGCGUGGAGGAUGAAGGUUUUCGGAUUGUAAACUCCUUUUGUUAGAGAAGAUAAUGACGGUAUCUAACGAAUAAGCACCGGCUAACUCCGUGCCAGCAGCCGCGGAAAUACGGAGGGUGCAAGCGUUACUAGGAAUCACUGGGCGUAAAGAGCGAGUAGGCGGGAUAGCAAGUCAGAUGUGAAAUCCUAUGGCUUAACCAUAGAAAUGCGGUUGAA
rnacentral:rRNA from 1 species